UGCCAGCAGCCGCGGUAAUACGUAUGGUGCAAGCGUUAUCCGGAAUCACUGGGCGUAAAGGGUACGUAGGCGGUUUUGCAAGUCAGAAGUGAAAGGCUACGGCUCAACCGUAGUAAGCUUUUGAAACUGCAAAACUAGAGUUCAGGAGAGGUAAGUGGAAUUCCUAGUGUAGAGGUGAAAUUCGUAGAUAUUAGGAGGAACACCAGUGGCGAAGGCGACUUACUGGACUGAUACUGACGCUGAGGUACGAAAGCGUGGGGAGCGAACAGGAUUAGAUA
rnacentral:rRNA from 1 species